GAUGAAGAACGUAGCGAAAUGCGAUAAGUAAUGUGAAUUGCAGAAUUCAGUGAAUCAUCGAAUCUUUGAACGCACAUUGCGCCCCCUGGUAUUCCGGGGGGCAUGCCUGUCCGAGCGUCAUUACAACCCUCAAGCUCAGCUUGGUGUUGGGCCCCGCCGCCCCGGCGGGCCCUAAAGUCAGUGGCGGUGCCGUCCGGCUCCGAGCGUAGUAAUUCUUCUCGCUAUGGAGUCCUGGUGGAUGCUUGCCAUCAACCCCCAAUUUUUCUAUGGUUGACCUCGGAUCAGGUAGGGAUACCCGCUGAACUUAAGCAUAUCAAUAGCGGAGGA
rnacentral:misc_RNA from 1 species